GCCAAGGAGAAUGAGAAAAAGCUAAAGAGCAUGGAGGCUGAGAUGAUUCACCUGCAGGAGGUGAAAGGCAACCUUGAGAAGGCCAAGCAGACCCUGGAGCAUGAGCGAGGGGAGCUGGCCAAGGAGGUAAAGGUUCUGCUGCAGGAAAAAGGGGACUCAGAGCACAGGUGGAAGAGAGUGGAGGCGCAGCUGCAGGCGCUGCAGGUGAAGUUCAAGGAGGGAGAGCAAGAGUGCAGGCACCAGGGCCUGGGCGCUGCUCUCCACAGCCGAUCCUCAGUCUUGGCCCAGUUUGCCAGGAUGGCUGCUCUUUUUCUUCUUUUUCUUCUUCUUUCCAUUUUUUUUUCUUCUUCCAGUUUUUAAUUUUAAAAAAUUCUUCAUUUUGAAAGCACUUUAAAAUACCAGUUUUUACUUAAACCAGCCUUGAAGACAAGCAAAAAAUUGACCAGGUUACUUUUUUAACCACCUCAACUGGAGCCCCCACCCCAUGGCAGCGCUGUUCUAGGUGAGAGCAGAGGGAUUCUCAGACUCAGAAACACGACCUCACUUCCUGAGAGAGUCAGACCACCUUGUCCCGAGAGGAGAAAUACACGCAGUCGCCGUUCUUACUGCUGACCUGCCCCAGACUCGCUUCUGGCUCAAGGAAAAGCUAAUGUCUGCCCAAUUCAGGAUGUUUCUAUGAACUCAACCCCUAUUUCCUCAAAAAUAAAAAAGCAGAACUCUUUUUCAUUAAAAACUAAAAAAGGAACAAUUUUCCACAAAA